AAUCUAUCAAGUCUGUGAUAAAACCAGCCAGAUAUCAGAGUGUCUCUUGGGCGGCAGCGGAAAGCCCAGAGUUGGAGGAGGUCACCUGAGCCAAUCAAAGAAAAACUUCAGUCACAACACCACCUCCCUCCCUCAACUUGGUGGCCUCCCAAGUCAACAGAGGACGGCGGGACUCCCUCCAAGAAGCAAGAGUUUGCCUGAGCACCCUGCAGAGGCCGAUGAUUUCAGACUUUCGCUGAUAGCUAAACUUUAUGGCCACAGUGGGUGAGGAUGAACUUUGCCUCUGACCUGGAUCCACAAUUCUGAGUUUUCUUUUUAAAAAGAAAGAAAUGCAGCUGCAAUAAUAUUCAAGGGGGGGAAAUCAGACUCGUUUCUCCCAUUCUCUAUUCAUUUUGCAAAGGAAAAUAAAGCUACUGAGGAGGAGGAGGCCUUGCCUCUGUGCAGAGCAGAGUCCCACCAAUGAGACGGGAUGGCCGAGUUUCACCUCGGAAGCC